UAAAGAGGACUGUAAAUAUUGGUC
rnacentral:piRNA from 1 species